rnacentral:sRNA from 1 species
UUUACAAUCCAGUGAGAAGAGCAGAAACAGCAAUGUGGCCAUGUUCAAGUUUGCCAAAGGCCAUUCUGGAUGUAGGUGGGCUUGAGGGGCACCCAGAAAUUGAUUCUGACAGAUGGUAUAUAAUUGACUGCAUUGACCAACUUGCUGGGAGUCCACAACACCUAUGAGACAGGAUGGUAAGGCUGUGUUCUGCUGUUUCAUGGUUACAGCCUGGGAGUUUAGGGCUCUACUGAGUGGACUCAGCUCUUGAUUCAUUCAUAGUUUGACGGCACUGUUGGGAGGGGUAAAAGGUAUGGGUAGUUGCAUAAGUAUGUCACUGGGGUACAGCCUUGGCCUUGGAGCUACAUUUUACUUGACAUCUUCCUCUUUCCCAUUGCUUCCCAGCUGCCGAGGUGUGAGCUGUUGUGCUUCUCCGUGCCUAUGGUACCUGGAUGGACCUCUGAAAGAACAAGAGUGUCUCAUCGAUGCCAGGAAGAUACAUUCUCUGUAACUACCUUGGAUGUUUGCUAUUCUGAGUGACUACUUUAACUACAUUUGAAAUUUGCAGAGACUGUCAAAGAACUGCACAAAAUUCCUGUAAACCUUUCUCCCAGCUUCCCCAGUGUUAGCAUCCUACAAAGUUUGUCGUUGAUACUAAGGCAUUACCGCUGCGUCCUGAGCCAUUUCUGUGCCUUCUGUGAUAGGCCUCUGGAUUGUGAACUUGCCUGCUCAGAUAUUCUCCCCUUUCUUUUAGUCCAGAGUUGAAAUGCACUCACCUAGAAAACAGAUGAGGGUAAGUCUUUCUCUGUCAUGAGGACCAACUUCCAGCCAUCCAUCUGCAUCAGCGGACUCCCCCAAAUCUAGACAAGGUGCUCCUUCUAGAUGACCCCCCAUAUGCUCCUCUUUCUCUACUCUCUGUAUACUUUGCCACUUUCAUUGGUCUUCUCAGUAGAACUGACUGUUGGCAUUCAUUGGUUGUUUAUGGGUUGGAUGGAUGGAUGGAGUCAUUAUGUCUGGAGUUUUAAUAUCCUGUUGGCACCAGAAAGAUGGCGGCUCACCUACAAACAGAAGUGUUGACUGCUGGCGAUCCACGACCUUUAUGGCACAGAAGCUCAGUCACAGUACAGGUGGGACUUAGUGCCACUUCCAGUCUCAUUCUGACCAUCUACAAAGAAGAGAAGGACAAGCCUCGAAUCGCAACCUCCUUGAGUGUAAUAUCUGAGAGAGUUCCUCAAAUCUAAUGGUUCCCAGACUUAGUGGACUGACUCAGAAGCUCCAGGGACGAACCUGGCACGCUGCCUGAUUAAUAAACUUGCUAGCUGAUGUGGUAGCCUGCAGGACCUGGUUCUGAUGCAAGAGCUGGCACCGGAAGUCCUUCUGCAGGCCAACCUGCUUACUCUACAGUGUGGGACCACAAGACUGUGAAGCUGUCAACCCAUGUCCUCAGCUUUUGAUGGGAGGGAACAUGGGAGGAGAAAUGAAGUCCUGUGACCUUGACAGACUCCGUGCCAGAUGCUAAUUGAUUGAGCGACAGUGAAGCAACUGCAGAGCAUUCCGAAAGCUCGAGAAUUGCCUGUGUUGUGUUCUGUAGUUACUUACUGAGCAAUAGCUGUACUGGGCCAGAGACAUAGCAAAAAGAAAACGGACCCACAGUUUGGAAAUUACAACCCUGAAGCCAUAGCUAGAGGGGCCAGGGCCAGAAGCUGAGACCCACAGAUCCCUCUCUGCCUCUGCUGUGGAAUGUGCAUGCUCGAGUCUGUACACCCAAUCACCGAUUGUGGAAGGCCCCAUGUGGAUCUUCUUUUCACGAUGAACAGCUGUUUGAGGCUAGAGAUAUUGCGUGUGGUUCUAGAAAGCCCUCUUCAUCUCACAUCUGGUAUUGCCUUUUGGGCCAAUAAUCCUGUCUAGUCCAUUAUGGAUUGCUCGGUGUAACGGAUACGGCACAGAAAGAAUGCUUGAAGGUUUUAACAGCAGGGUAAGUCCCUGCCAGAGGCAGACGAUGGCUGCACACAGCGGGUGGGGGGAUAGCCGUGUUCUGCACAGGUUGUACCUACACAGAACACCCAGUAGGUGCAUUAAUAACUUAUGUUACUAAUUAACAUUCAGAUCCACAGCAUGACUCUGCAUUUAUCCUUAGUCAGAAUUUGAAAACACCAGCUCUCGAGGAUGGAUGUCUUUGUCAUGAUUCAAGAUGGAACUCAUUAGCUAGAAAGAACAUAGGAGCUCAUGUCCCAGUCUGGGGUGAUGUAUUGUUUCUUUAUGACCUUGCUGGGCUCGUGUCUUGAUCUGACCUCGACACCUCAUUGUGCCCUCUUGUCUGGUAGUCUCCACCUCCUGAACAUUUCAUCUCACCCAUGUUGCCGUUGUUUGGGUCUCCUUCUUAGCUUCAUGGGACAUAGCUCCUUGCACAUUCUCGGCCCCAUCUCCCUCAGUCAGCUUUCCAGGGCAUCACCGAAGCGUCUGCCUUGCUGCUGUGUUAAACAUACUGGUACGACUGCAAAGUCUGGCCUUGGCAUGUACCGCUUGCCAAUGUGAUUCUGCACACUGAGCUGCGGGGCUCCCUUUCUCCCUAACUCCUCUUUCAGUCUUCCCUCCUCGACUACAGAGGUUUAGUCUACCCCAAUACACAGGGCAGAAAGCUUGAAGUCUGUUCUAGAACCAAUCCAGGAAA